rnacentral:lncRNA from 1 species
UCGACAGAGGGUCAGUGCUCCCGUGUCCCCCCCAGAGGGUGUGGCCUUACCAGGAUCAUGUGGCCCGUGGAGAUGUCCAUGUCAGGCUGGACGGGCUCUUCUGACCAGGACGAGGUGCUGCUGCGGGCAGAAGGGCUGGGCAUUGGCCCGUCGCUGAACUGGGACGAGACGCUGUUGAUGCGGGAAGUGUGUGGGCCCUCGGGGCGGUAGAUGAGGCUGGAAGCCAGGAGCACCCCCAUGAUGCAGGCGACAGAGAGGAAGGUCAGCAGGAUGAACUUGGUCGAGUCUUCCUGCUGUCCCUGAUGAGGCAGAAGCGUGAGUCUGCUUUUCUGUGUGACAAGGAGAGAGGGACCUGUCAGUACUGUGCAUGACCUGCUAGCA